rnacentral:rRNA from 1 species
GAAACGGUUGCUAAGACUGGAUAGGAAAUAAAAAGGCAUCUUUAUUUCUAAAAGACCUUCUUCGGAGGGUAUGCUUAAAGAGGGGCUUGCGCCACAUUAGUUAGUUGGUGAGGUAAAGGCUCACCAAGAUUAUGAUGUGUAGCUGGACUGAGAGGUUGAACAGCCACAUUGGGACUGAGACACGGCCCAAACUCCUACGGGAGGCAGCAGUAGGAAUUUUCGGCAAUGGAGGAAACUCUGACCGAGCGACGCCGCGUGAACGAUGAAGUAUUUCGGUAUGUAAAGUUUUUUAUUGAAGGAGAAAAAAUAAUGGAAAAAUUAUCUUGACGUUAUUCAAUGAAUAAGCCCCGGCUAACUAUGUGCCAGCAGCCGCGGUAAGACAUAGGCGGCGAGCGUUAUCCGGAAUUAUUGGGCGUAAAGGGUGCGUAGGCGGUUAAAUAAGUCUAUAAUUUAAUUUCAGCGCUUAACGCUGUCUUGUUAUAGAAACAUUUUGACUAGAGUGAGAUAGAGGCAAGCGGAAUUCCAUGUGUAGCGGUAAAAUGUGUAAAUAUUUGGUGGAACACCAGAAGCGUAGGCGGCUUGCUGGGUCUUUACUGCGCUGAGGCACGAAAGCGUGGGGAGCAAACAGGAUUAGAUACCCUGGUAGUCCACGCUGUAAACGAUGAGUACUAAGUUCGGGGUAACUCGGUACUGAAGUAACACAUUAAGUACUCCGCCUGAGUAGUACGUACGCAAGUAUGAAACUUAAAGGAAUUGACGGGACUCGGCACAAGGGGUGGAUCAUGUUGUUUAAUUCGAAGAUACACGAUAAACCUUACCAGGUCUUGACAUACUCUGCAAAGCUAUAGAAAUAUAGUGGAGGUUAUCAGGGAUACAGGUGGUGCAUGGUUGUCGUCAGUUCGUGUCGUGAGAUGUUAGGUUAAGUCCUAAAACGAACGCAACCCCUUUCGUUAGUUGCCAGCACGUAAUGGUGGGGACUUUAGCGAUACUGCCCAUUAAAAGUUGGAGGAAGGUGGGGAUAACGUCAAACAUCAUGCCCCUUAUGAUGGGCUACAAACGUGAUACAAUGGCCGUUACAAAGAGUAGCUGAAACCGAGUUCUUAGCCAAUCUCAAAAAGACCGUCUCAGUCCGGAUUGAAGUCUGCAACUCGACUUCAUGAAGCGGAAUCGCUAGUAA